AGAGGCUUAGGCUAAUUCAGACCUAGGGCCUUCAAAGCCCUCAGUGGGAGUUAAAAUCUCUCAGCCUCUG
rnacentral:tRNA from 1 species